rnacentral:misc_RNA from 1 species
UGCUGCAUUAUGCCAUGGGUUG